UAGUUUACCGAGUCGUGCAGGAUGAAGAACGGAGAGGUUCGAGCAUCGCGCAGCGAUACGACAACGCGCAGCGUUGCCCGCAGGGUGAGGCCACUGGCCGAAUCAAUCCUGCACGACCCACCC
rnacentral:sRNA from 1 species